CAGCAACUUUCAGUCAUCGCACUACAGAUGGUAGUGUGCCCUUUCGGCUCUUCAGCCCAGCACACACACUGAAAGUCUGACUGGACACAGUGAAAAGGCAGCCACUGCCAACUAUGAAGAAAGCCCUUAUCAGAAAGUGACCAUGCCAGCACCCUGAUCUUGGACUUCCAGCCUCCAGAACUAAAGUCCAAAACCCCUGGUGAAAGUUUCAAUUAUCUAGAGGUGUACAUCUGAACCAACCAGAAGAUCCCUAUUUUUUCUACGGUAGGAAAUAUGCAGCUGCUCAAGUACUACUAGACAUGACACAUUCGACUUUCACCCACCCACCUUUGAACCUUCAAAAAACGUUUGCUAAAAAGAAUGUGUUUUUAAGUCCCCCCCCCCUUUUUGCACUCACUCCCUGAAGUAGGAGAAAUAUUAGGAAAUUUACUCUUCCACUCAACAGCUCUCACAUGAGCCUUCAAGAAGCUACGCUUAUGAGAGAAGCAUGAACCCAGCGGAGGAGAGCUCCGGAGGGGUCACCGUGUAUGACAGUCAACUUUAUAUAUUCACACUUCAGGCAUCUUAUUCAAACCAACUGCAGAAGCCUGAUUUGUUCUUUCGAAAACAUUACGCUGACUUCAAUUUAGACAUUUCUAUUUUGGUGCAGCUAGACUACACAGGAGUGUGUUCCUCUACCAUUUAGUAAUUUAGAUACUUUCAAUAUUAUUGCUAACUGACUCUUGAGGUAUAAGAGCCUUAAUUAUGUUGGUUUAAUAUUUUGUGCUUAAAUAUUGUUAUUUGUAAACUAA